GCCGGAGCGAAUAACUAAUAGCCGCGGCUAUUAGGUAUGCAAAAACCGUACGGAAUCCGUAGGGAAUCCGUACGGGAAUUCCUGCCAAACCGCACGGAUUCGGUACGGAAUGUAUUCCAUAGGGUUUCUGUACGGUUUCCGUGCGGUUUAGCACUUUUACCGCAUUCUAGGGCCAGUUUGUGGCCUUCUUGGCUUUCCAUACCACAUGUCCCACAGAGCAGCCAUGACGCUUCGCUGAAUUACCCAGCUGAUGACUUCUGUAUUUACUGGGCACUUUCGUGAACUUUUGGACGUGCACUCGUGUUGUUUUGACUCCAAGAUAAACGUGGCCUCAUUAUAAAUCAACGUCACCUGGACUCCGCGAUAGACCAUGACGAGAUAUGAUGCAUCAAUCGUUCAAUGUGAAAACAAACCCGAACAAACUGGCGCUCUGGUUUGAAACUCGAGCAGAAAGAAGAAGAGCACCAGACUGUGAUCCACUCACUGGAGUCCCCGAUCACCACCACGCUCCUGUUGUGCAGCAGCUGGGCCGCGGUCUGAUGGCCGACGGACGCCAUGGCCUCAUAACUCUUUUUGGAUUGGAAAACUAAAUGUCAACAUCGAUGAAUGAAGGAGAGCUCUAUGUUGGGAGCAGAAGAGCCAUUAAAUCCAAAGAGCAGGCAAGACAACUCUUUAUAGAGUUUCACUCCUCUCCAAUGGGGGGACAUACGAGCAUUCCGAAAACCUGGACAGCCAUAUCCUCCGGAUUUUAAUGGCUUGGCAUGUCAGUGGACAUUAACAACUGGGUAUUGGAAUGUGAUAAAUGCCAGAUGGUUGGAAAACCUUUGGCUGCUGCAUAGCCAUUACAGUGUAUACAGUGUCUGCUGUCUGGGAGCUAAUUGGUAUUGACCUGACCGGACCUCUCCCAAAAACUGUGGAUGGCUUCCAGUACAUUUUAACAGCCACAGAUUACUUCUAAAAAUGGGUUGAGGCUUUCCCAUUCAAGAAAAAAAACUGAAGCUGAAGUGGGACGCCACAUCUGUUCGAUUAUUUAUACACAUAGUUGUCCCAAAAGAAUUUUAUCUGACCAUGGAAGAGAGUUUUUUAGUGAACUCAACACCAGCCUUUGCAGUAUUUUGGCUAUUCAAAGAAGUGUGACAGCUGCCUAUCAUCCCCAAACCAAUGGGAAUGCUGAGGACUUCUGUGUGGUGUGCUCCUUUGCCGAAUAAAAUGCAGAUGAGAGCAUGAUUGAAAAGUUGCAGUGUGGAUUAUGCAGUCGAUGGGCACAUUUUGAGUGUGCCCAAUAUGCCCAUGAAAAUAAGGCUGUAUAUAUUUGAAAGAAAUGC
ensembl:lncRNA